rnacentral:rRNA from 2 species
CCUGGUAGCGGGGGAUAACUAUUGGAAACGAUAGCUAAUACCGCAUAACAGUAGAUAUUGCAUGAUAUCUGCUUGAAAGGUGCAAUUGCAUCACUACCAGAUGGACCUGCGUUGUAUUAGCUAGUUGGUGAGGUAACGGCUCACCAAGGCAACGAUACAUAGCCGACCUGAGAGGGUGAUCGGCCACACUGGGACUGAGACACGGCCCAG